rnacentral:rRNA from 1 species
CAGCAGUAGCCGCGGGAAUACGUAGGUGGCAAGCGUUAUCCGGAAUUAUUGGGCGUAAAGCGCGCGUAGGCGGUUUCUUAAGUCUGAUGUGAAAGCCCACGGCUCAACCGUGGAGGGUCAUUGGAAACUGGGAAACUUGAGUGCAGAAGAGGAAAGUGGAAUUCCAUGUGUAGCGGUGAAAUGCGCAGAGAUAUGGAGGAACACCAGUGGCGAAGGCGACUUUCUGGUCUGUAACUGACGCUGAUGUGCGAAAGCGUGGGGAUCAAACAGGAUUAGAUACCCCAGUAGUCCCUGUCUCUUAUAC